UCCCGCCCAGGCAACAACAUCCCAGAGCUGGGCGGGUUAAGGAGGAGGAUGGCGCCGUCCUGCAGAUGUGCGGGGACGCGCGCCCGCCGCAACGUGAGGCUCAUAGGCCACACGCAACUCUGAGCAUUGGCCAGGACCUGUAGUAGCCAACAGGACACUUAAUAACUGAUGUAUAGGUGCGCACUGUGUGUCCAGAGCUUUACGUUAACCACCUCACUGUGUCAUCUCGCUGAGGUUGUGUGGUUUACUAUUACUGCUAUUAGCGCAUUUUUAAGCGGGAAACCUGAGGCAUGAGGAGGGUGUGCUCGCCGUGGUUCCUAUAAAGCUGUAAGGGAGGCUACACAGCGUGCAGCGUUGUUGCUGAGGGAUCGCACACUUCCCGUAGAUUUUGUUGCUAGUUCUGGUGCACUAACGUGGAUGGACUGCUUGCUGUCUGUAGGGCCUGCCCACGGUCAGCGCUACAGAAUUCAGGCCCGGCGUAGCUACUUCCAACCCUUCAGAUCUUCACUUCCUGUUGGAACUGUCCUCUAGACUGUAGCCUCUGCCAGAAAUAAUUCAUUUUGAAUACCCUUGUAACACCCAAUUCCUUGAUCUCCUAUCAUUCCCCUGGCAGGGUCAGUCCUCGACCUUGUCCCCCCAAAUUGCUUCGUCUCUGAAUCCAGACUCUGAAGUUCGGCUCUGCCUACCACCUUAAGUUAUCCGAUGUGGCCUUACCGUCAGCCUAGUCUUUGACUACAGGAAGACCUCUCUUCCUGAAGAAGACGCCUCUUUUCAUCCAUUCACUCUGGAAAUGAUUCAACGUCUGCCUGCUGCUGAUGCUUUACUCUCCACCAGGGGUUUUCGAAGUGUGCUUCCCCAUUCCCCCUGGGCCUAUAGCAUCAGCAUCAGGGAACUUGUCAGUAACGCACAUUCUUGGGCCCCAACCCAGAACUACUGAAUCAGAAACUUGGGGUGAGGGCCUGUCGUGGUGGCUCAUGCCUGUAAUCCCAACACUUUGGGAAGCAGAGGAGGGUGGAUCACCUGAGGUCAGGAGUUGAGGACCAGCCUGGCUAACAUGGUGAAACCCCGUCUCUACUAAAAAUAGAAAAAUUAGCCAGAUGUGGUGGCGUGUGCCCAUAAUCCUAGCUACUCGGGAGACUGAGGCAGGAGACUCGCUUGAACCCAAGAGGCGGAGGUUGCAGUGAGCCAAGAUUGCACCACUGCACUCUAGCCUGGGCGACAGAGUGAGACUCCGUCUCAAAAAAAAAAAAAGAACUCAGGGUGAGGCCCAGCCGGCUGUGGUUUUAUGAGCUUUUCAGGGGAUACUGAUGCGGGAUCAAAUUUGAGAAGCACUGGUCUAGGUCUUAGAUCCUCUUGCUUCAGUUUCGUCAUUGGAUCUCAGGAAUGUUCAGCUGCCCUCUCAAGGCAACUUCUUACUUCACUUGACCUUCCAAGACCUCUCGUUCUGUCAAACCCCAAUUUUGGAUCAACCCAGGCAUGCUUCCCUCAUGUGUUCCAAAGCUGGUCAGAGUAGUCUACACCACUAUCUGCUUCAACUUCUAGUAACGUCUAAGCCUUCAGCAGUUUUGCUUAUGAAACUGCUUCACUGAAGUUCUCCACCACCAAGUAGUCAGCUGGCAUCGGAAUUCGGCUUGUGUCAAAUGGAACUCAACAUCUUCCUCUUCAGGACAUCCCCUAUUUUCAUCCUCCCAGUGAAUGACACCACCAAGUUAAAGCCUGGAGGCUGGGUGUAGUGGUUCAUGCCUGUAAUCCCAGUAGUUUAGGAAACCGAGGUGGGCAGAUGGCUUGCGCCCAGGUGUUUGAGAGCAGCCUGGCCAACAUGGCGAAACCCUGUCUCUACAAAAAAGUACUGCCAGGCGCGGUGGCUUACGCCUGUAAUCCCAGCACUUUGGGAGGCUAAGCAGGCAGAUCACCUCAGGUCAGGAGUUCAAGACCAGGCUGGGCCAACAUGGCAAAACCCCAUCUCUACUAAAAAUACAAAAAUUAGCCUGGUGUGGUGGCAUGUGUCUAGUCCCAGCUACUCGAGAGGCUGAGGCAGGGGAACUGCUUGAACCCAGGAGGCGGGGGUUGCACUGAACCUGUUGCGCCACUGCAUUCCAGCCUGGGUGGCAGAGCAAGACUCUUAUCUCAAAAACAACCAAACACAAAACAAAAAUUAGCUGGGUCUGGUGACAUGUGCUUAUAGUCCCAGCUACUUGGGGGGCUGAGGCAGGAGGAUUGCUUGAGCCUGGGAGGUUGAGGCUGCAGCAAUGAGCUGUGUUUGUGCCACUGCACUCUAGCCUGGACAACAAAAUGAGACCUUGUCUCAAAAAGAAAAAAAAAAAGCAGGGUGCAGUGGCUGACGCCUGUAAUCCCAGCACUUUGGGAGGCCGAGGCGGGCGGAUCAGAAGGUCAGGAGAUCGAGACCAUCCUGGCUAACAAGGUGAAACCCUAUCUUUACUAAAAAUACAAAAACUUAGUCGGGUGUGGUGGCACGCACCUGUAGUACCAACUACUCAGGAGGCUUAGGCUGGAGAAUCGCUUGAACCCAGGAGGUGGAGGUUGCAGUGAGCCGAGAUUGCGCCACUGCACUCCAGCCUGCCAGCCUGGGCAACAGAGCGAGAUUCUGUCUCAAAAAACAAAAACAAAAAAACCCAGAAUAACUCACCCCAAACUUCCAGGUUUUUUUUUUUUUUGAGACGGAGUCUUGCUGUCGCCCAGGCUGGAGUGCAGUGGUUAGAUCUCAGCUCACUGCAACCUCCGCUUCCUGGGUUCAAGUGAUUCUUCUGUCUCAGCCUCCUGAGUAGCUGGGAUUACAGGUGUGCGCCACCAUGCCUGGCUAAAUUUUGUAUUUUUAGUAGAGAUAGGGUUUCACCAUGUUGGUCAGGCUGGUCUCAAACUCCUGACCUCAGGUGAUCCACCCGCCUCGGCCUCCCAAAGUGCCAGGAUUACAGGCGUAAAACUCCCAUGCUGGGCUGGUCAAAGUGCUGGGAUUACAGGCAUAAGACAACGCACCUGGAACUUGGCUUGUGUCAAAUGGAACUCAACAUCUUCCCUUUUACUAAACCCCACCCAACAUUCACUGCGCACAAGUUGUCUUAUUCACUGGACUUCUAAUAUGUUUAAGGGGUCUGUCCCCAUUUAUUUUUUGAAACGGGGUCUUUCUGUGUUGCCCAGGCUGGAGUGCAGUGGUUGUUCACAGGUGCCAACCUACUAUUGAUCAGCAUGGGAGCUUUGGGGUUUUAAAACAAAUUUUUUAAGCCAGUCAUAUUUAGCAGUGGGGGGUUGUAUACCAACUUUAGUGACACUAAUGUUAUUAAAUUCUAAUAACCCACUACCAUCAGACCAGCCCAGCUUGGGAGUUUUGACCU
rnacentral:lncRNA from 10 species